CAUGAGUUAUGUCAUGUUAUCGACAUGUGAAUUCAUAGCAUGUCAGAAGGCAGACCCGGAGAACUGAAACAUCUUAGUACCCGGAGGAAGAGAAAGAAAAAUCGAUUCCCUGAGUAGCGGCGAGCGAAACGGGAAGAGCCCAAACCAACAAGCUUGCUUGUUGGGGUUGUAGGACACUCUAUACGGAGUUACAAAAGAACAUGUUAGACGAAUCAUCUGGAAAGAUGAAUCAAAGAAGGUAAUAAUCCUGUAGUCGAAAACAUAUUCUCUCUUGAGUGGAUCCUGAGUACGACGGAGCACGUGAAAUUCCGUCGGAAUCUGGGAGGACCAUCUCCUAAGGCUAAAUACUCUCUAGUGACCGAUAGUGAACCAGUACCGUGAGGGAAAGGUGAAAAGUACCCCGGAAGGGGAGUGAAAGAGAACUUGAAACCGUGUGCUUACAAGUAGUCAGAGCCCGUUAAUGGGUGAUGGCGUGCCUUUUGUAGAAUGAACCGGCGAGUUACGAUCUGAUGCAAGGUUAAGCAGCAAAUGUGGAGCCGCAGCGAAAGCGAGUCUGAAUAGGGCGUUGAGUAUUUGGUCGUAGACCCGAAACCAGGUGAUCUACCCUUGGUCAGGUUGAAGUUCAGGUAACACUGAAUGGAGGACCGAACCGACUUACGUUGAAAAGUGAGCGGAUGAACUGAGGGUAGCGGAGAAAUUCCAAUCGAACUUGGAGAUAGCUGGUUCUCUCCGAAAUAGCUUUAGGGCUAGCCUCAAGUGAUGAUUAUUGGAGGUAGAGCACUGUUUGGACGAGGGGCCCCUCUCGGGUUACCGAAUUCAGACAAACUCCGAAUGCCAAUUAAUUUAACUUGGGAGUCAGAACAUGGGUGAUAAGGUCCGUGUUCGAAAGGGAAACAGCCCAGACCACCAGCUAAGGUCCCAAAAUAUAUGUUAAGUGGAAAAGGAUGUGGCGUUGCCCAGACAACUAGGAUGUUGGCUUAGAAGCAGCCAUCAUUUAAAGAGUGCGUAAUAGCUCACUAGUCGAGUGACACUGCGCCGAAAAUGUACCGGGGCUAAACAUAUUACCGAAGCUGUGGAUUGUCCUUUGGACAAUGGUAGGAGAGCGUUCUAAGGGCGUCGAAGCAUGAUCGCAAGGACAUGUGGAGCGCUUAGAAGUGAGAAUGCCGGUGUGAGUAGCGAAAGACGGGUGAGAAUCCCGUCCACCGAUUGACUAAGGUUUCCAGAGGAAGGCUCGUCCGCUCUGGGUUAGUCGGGUCCUAAGCUGAGGCCGACAGGCGUAGGCGAUGGAUAACAGGUUGAUAUUCCUGUACCACCUAGUAUCGUUUUAAUCGAUGGGGGGACGCAGUCUAGAUAGAUAACAGGUGCCCGUACCGCAAACCGACACAGGUAGUCAAGAUGAGAAUUCUAAGGUGAGCGAGCGAACUCUCGUUAAGGAACUCGGCAAAAUGACCCCGUAACUUCGGGAGAAGGGGUGCUCUUUAGGGUUCACGCCCAGAAGAGCCGCAGUGAAUAGGCCCAAGCGACUGUUUAUCAAAAACACAGGUCUCUGCUAAACCGUAAGGUGAUGUAUAGGGGCUGACGCCUGCCCGGUGCUGGAAGGUUAAGAGGAGUGGUUAGCUUCUGCGAAGCUACGAAUCGAAGCCCCAGUAAACGGCGGCCGUAACUAUAACGGUCCUAAGGUAGCGAAAUUCCUUGUCGGGUAAGUUCCGACCCGCACGAAAGGCGUAACGAUUUGGGCACUGUCUCAACUCGGCACAGCUUGUACAGGAUAGGUAGGAGCCUUUGAAACGUGAGCGCUAGCUUACGUGGAGGCGUUGGUGGGAUACUACCCUAGCUGUGUUGGCUUUCUAACCCGCACCACUUAUCGUGGUGGGAGACAGUGUCAGGCGGGCAGUUUGACUGGGGCGGUCGCCUCCUAAAAGGUAACGGAGGCGCUCAAAGGUUCCCUCAGAAUGGUUGGAAAUCAUUCAUAGAGUGUAAAGGCAUAAGGGAGCUUGACUGCGAGACCUACAAGUCGAGCAGGGUCGAAAGACGGACUUAGUGAUCCGGUGGUUCCGCAUGGAAGGGCCAUCGCUCAACGGAUAAAAGCUACCCCGGGGAUAACAGGCUUAUCUCCCCCAAGAGUUCACAUCGACGGGGAGGUUUGGCACCUCGAUGUCGGCUCAUCGCAUCCUGGGGCUGUAGUCGGUCCCAAGGGUUGGGCUGUUCGCCCAUUAAAGCGGUACGCGAGCUGGGUUCAGAACGUCGUGAGACAGUUCGGUCCCUAUCCGUCGUGGGCGUAGGAAAUUUGAGAGGAGCUGUCCUUAGUACGAGAGGACCGGGAUGGACAUACC
rnacentral:rRNA from 1 species